UCAGUGGUGGUGGCACGGUGGUGGUGGUGCUGCUAGUGUUGUUGGUGGUGGGUUGUUUGUUGGUGAUGAUAAUAUAAUAAAAUUGAAAGGUGGGGUUGAUUUUUAUUUUUGUUGAGGUGAUUUAAACUACUAAAAGGAUAAUAUAGAGAUAUUAUGUUAAAUAAGGUUUUUGUGAAUAAUUUAUUUUGUUGGAGUUUUUUUGCAUGGAUACUGAUACCUUUGAGGUUAUAACUCGCGACCCGUUCUUAUUCUUCGUCUGGAUAACAGAACAGAAGAGUGGAAAAACUUAUAUGUUAAACGAAGUUUUUGUGGAAAAACUUAUAUGCGUAUUCGGACGCACUAUUAGCGACGCCCUCUUGCUGCCUACCGAUCUAGAUAUACGCUAUUAAAAGUCAACCACAGCAGGAGAUAACAUGCCACAUGGCGUUGCAGAAGAGGAGGACGAUGGUGAUUAUAACGUGACUACGCGUGAUUGACCACCGGAGCCUUGAGUUAUGGAGAUCUGAAUAUUUAUAUCAACCAAACAACUUCCACAACAGGAAGAGCAUGGAGGUGGUGGUGGGGGAGUGUUUCUACAACAACAUUGCUCGAACCAAGAAUAAUCACCUCCCUCGUAGUCUCUACUGUGAUCCUGCACUGAAAAAGUUGGGAUAAGAGAUAACUCUCAAUUAUUAUUUCAUGACCUUUUUUUUGUCCUAUAACUAAGAUCCCCAAUUAUUUUUCCCGGACCCUAAUUUAGCCUUCAUAAUUUAGGUUGUGCCAAAAUCAUCAUCUCCAUUAUCUUCCUUGUAUGCACAAAUAUAUAUAUACUCAUGAUAACAAAUGCUCAUUAAUAUUCACCUUCCCGUGCCACAUGUUGUUCUUUUAGUUUCUUUUUGUUUUUCCUUUUGAUAAUUUUUCUUUUGAUAAAUUUUCAGCGGAACAGCGGAGGCGGAUCCAACGUAUAACAACUAACAAGGGUGCGCAAGUGCGACCCCUUGAUUUUCAGAAUAUCUACUAACAGGCCUAUUUUCCCAAGCCCAAACAAAAAUUUAUACCUAGUUACGCCCCCUUGAAGCCCAAUUUAACUGUUAAUACCGACUGAUUUAUUGGUCUGCAAUCCCAAAUUUAGUUCUUUACUAUUAUGUGCAAUGGGAAAAAAAAUUGGCUUGAUCUUUUUGUUGUGUAUUAUUUUAUUUGUUACCGACUGCCUAGAAAUCCUAGAUUUGCCAAACUCAGAUCAUAUAAUCAACGAGGCGUUGCACAAAAUUUUUUCCAUUACGAGUGUUAAUAGAAUUUUUUGUUUCUACAAAUUUAACAGAGGUACUUAAGUUUUUUUUAGUAGUUUUUGGACUUCCAAAUUUGGGCUUUAAGCGGCUGUCUAGAAAAUGUGUUACCUUCGGGUCAUUUAAGGUCAUAUUAAGAAGCUAUUCGAAUUUAAGCCUGGCAUCAUUAUUAGGAGCAACCAUGAAAAAAUUAGGACCAUUAAUAAGACAAAAUAGGGUCACCCAAACCUAAAUUGAAGCCAUCCUUAUCUUUGAUUUUUUGAAAUGGCAAAUAUACCCUCCACAAUCGAUAGAUAAAACUACAAUUGGUAGUUUAAUUUGGUCUGCCUCAUUCUUUUUUCUACGAACCCCAUAAUCGGUAGUUAAUUCCACAAGCGGGUGUGUUAGUAUAUACAAUCGGUGGAUAUUCUCAUAAUCGGUAGUGUUGGUGUAUACAAUCGAUAGUUAACGUUAUAAUCGGUAGUUAAUGUCUAUAUAGUUGGUUUUAGGAAAUUUUUUCCCAUUAUUUGGUUUUAGUUUUUGGUGGGAGAGAGAGAAGAAGAAGAGAAAUAAGAAGAAGUGGGAGUUUACCAUUUUUCUUAAAUCAACAAGAAACAUGGAUGGGUAUGAAGAAGAAGGUGAAGA